rnacentral:rRNA from 1 species
UACGUAGGGGGCUAGCGUUGUCCGGAUUUAUUGGGCGUAAAGAGCGUGUAGGCGGCCAUGUAGGUCCGGUGUGAAAACUCGAGGCUUAACCUCGAGAUGUCAUCGGAAACCAUUUGGCUAGAGUCCGGAAGAGGAGAGUGGAGUUCCUGGUGUAGCGGUGAAAUGCGCAGAUAUCAGGAAGAACACCCGUGGCUAAGGCGGCUCUCUAGUACGGUACUGACGCUGAGACGCGAAAGCGUGGGGAGCGAACAGG